GUGUGCUCAGCAUAUUGGGCCCUCUGUCCCUUUCAGAAGGGAGUCCCCCAUGACAAUAAUCCUUCUUUCUUUUUUGACAGAUGAUGUAGCAAUGCAGGGGGUAGGUUGCCUUACCUUAGGCACCCUCUUCAACUGGGACGGGCUUU